GACAGAGGUGCCAAGCGUUAGGCGGAAUCACUGGGCUUAAAGCGUGUGUAGGCGGGUCGUUAAGUACCUUGUAAAAUCCCCCGGCUCAACCGGGGAACGGCUGGGUAUACUGGCGAUCUUGAGCGACCUAGGGGCAGUCGGAACAAGUGGUGGAGCGGUGAAAUGCGCAGAUAUCAGGAGGAACACCAAUGGCGAAGGCAGCUCGCUGGGACGUGACUGACGCUGAGACGCGAAAGCGUGGGGAGCAAACAGG
rnacentral:rRNA from 1 species